GGCCACAUGCAAGUUUUCGCAACAAGCUGCAGCUGCGAGCAUGGCGAGUUUCCCCGAAGAUGCCAUGGAAGCCUUCAACACCCGCCGCGGUGGCUCGUGUCGUAGGGAGCCCGAGGUGGCGCGUCAACAACCCUCGGCGCCGCUAUGACUAAACGCGAUCGGCGGAUCAACUAUUGUGAGCGAAAUCGCCAACGCCUUCACGGUUCAACUGAAGCGGGGGGAUUUCCUGGAAGGAGAUGCCUUGCGGUGCCUUUUCAUGGUCCUUUGAAGACGCCAGACGAUGGACAGCUGCGGAGGCCACUGUGCCAGGUCCGCUCCGGAAUUUAGAGGCGCCGGACAAGGGAAAUUUGGUGGCCAUGGUGCCUGGUCAGCUCGUGGAGCCAACGCGCCUUUCAAGACUCAAGGUAAUGGGCAAGGGGCGGGUCGACUGCGCUGACGUUUGACGCUGCUAAUCGGCAGUGAAAACUGUGCGUAUGUGUGUGUGUAAACUAUCCCGCAGAGAGGCGGCUUGUUUGCAAUGACGUCGAACGUUUUGCCUCACCUAGGGAUCUAGGGAACACGAAGUGUUUAAAAACGGCUGUUUGUCGGCUGCUAAUCGGCAGUGAAAACUGUGCGUACGUGUGUGUGUAAACCGUCCCGCAGAGAAACGGCUUGUUUACGAUGACGUCCAACGUUUUGCCUCACCUAGGGAUCUAGGGAACAGGAAGUGUUUAAAAACGGCUGCUUGUCGGCUGCUAGGUGUGCUCGUCGUCGUGCUUUGUGAUCGUACCCGUGAGCUACGUGCUCGUGGCUGUUUGCUUCGUCUUGCGGGCUCCAUUUGGGAGUCGCGCUAGACUGUGUAAAUGUAUCCUAUGUUUAAACUGUAAAUACUGUAAAUAAACCUUGCUCGCCUAGCCCUGUCGCCCCAAGUUCCUCCGAUCGUCCUACAAGCCCGACACCAAAUCUUACAUCUGGAUGGCAGCGGUGAGAUCGGCCUACGGCUCGUAGAUCAGCCUACAACUCGGAGACAGCAAUGGCAGCUCACGGACUUUGGCACAUGGUGACCGACCGGUAUCCUGAUCAAGUUGGAGGCGACUUGAGAUUGACCACCUCUUGCAACUGACUGGAUACGGCGGAGAAGGACUGGUGAUAUGGUGCUGCUUCAGUGGCCCUGUCGCCCCAAGUUCCUCCGAUCGUCCUACAAGCCCGACACCAAAUCUUACAUCUGGAUGGCAGCGGUGAGAUCGGCCUACGGCUCGUAGAUCAGCCUACAACUCGGAGACAGCAAUGGCAGCUCACGGACUUUGGCACAUGGUGACCGACCGGUAUCCUGAUCAAGUUGGAGGCGACUUGAGAUUGACCACCUCUUGCAACUGACUGGAUACGGUGGAGAAGGACUGGUGAUAUGGUGCUGCUUCAGUGGGCCGAUUGAAGGGGUAUCAACACACGUGUCUCUAUUCCGCCAGAUAGCCUGUGCUUCAAUGAUCUCUCGCACGUCUUUAUCUUUGUGCUUCGCAAGAACCCGGCAGGAUUCAUACACCGGCGCACACCGGAUUCAUACACCGGCUUUUUUGGAUGGGACGAAGGCCUCUUCCUGCGACCUCCAGUUACCCGUGUCCUGCUCCAUACGAUUCUAACUAGCACCUCAAGGAUCGCUUUCAAGAUGCCGCGCCCGAACGGCCGCGCCAGCAGCAGCCGCCGGAGAACAAUAAAACACCUUAGACUUGGUAAAGUAGUGCCACGCUUUGAAGAACGCCGCCUGCUCCUCGCGCGCUCUGGCCGAGGCCGACACCGCGUCGCUAUUGGCCUAAUAGCAUCACGUGGGCCCUCGCGUCGUGCAUCAGGUAUAUAGUGAGUAUACCAACUCUAGAGGAAAAGCUGGCCCGAAAAAGUGGGAACCCCUAGGGCGCCGCCCUGUUGCUACUGGUCAAUGUGGCCAGCGCAGUUGCUAUUGAUAGAGCUGAAAACAAGUACACCUCACCUUAUGCUUUGUCAGUUAAAAACGCACACCUGAUGGCUUUGUGAAGGUGAUGCGUUAAUAUUAAGUUUACAGAAAGCGCUUGCUGAGUGCGUGACUUAUGUAAAUCCCGAUGUACGCAUUCAUGCAAUAAAC